GACGAACGCUGGCGGCGUGCUUAACACAUGCAAGUCGAACGGAAAGGCCCCUUUGGGGGUACUCGAGUGGCGAACGGGUGAGUAACACGUGAGUAACCUGCCCUUGACUUCGGGAUAACUUCAGGAAACUGGGGCUAAUACCGGAUAGGAAUCCUUGCUGCAUGGUGGGGGUUGGAAAGCUUCGGCGGUUUUGGAUGGACUCGCGGCUUAUCAGCUUGUUGGUGGGGUAGUGGCUUACCAAGGCUUUGACGGGUAGCCGGCCUGAGGGGGCGACCGGCCACAUUGGGACUGAGAGACGGCCCAGACUCCUACGGGAGGCAGCAGUGGGGAAUAUUGCACAAUGGGCGGAAGCCGGAUGCAGCAACGCCGCGGGCGGGAUGACGGCCUUCGGGUUGUAAACCGCUUUCAGCAGGGGCGAAGCUUGUGGUGACGGUACCUGCAGAAGAAGCACCGGCUAACUACGUG
rnacentral:rRNA from 1 species